UAGGGAAUCUUCCACAAUGGGACGCAAGUCUGAUGGAGCAACGCCGCGUGAGUGAAGAAGGUCUUCGGAUCGUAAAACUCUGUUGUUAGAGAAGAACACGAGUGAGAGUAACUGUUCAUUCGAUGACGGUAUCUAACCAGCAAGUCACGGCUAACUACGUGCCAA
rnacentral:rRNA from 1 species